AAAAAAUGCAUGAAAUCAGGUGAUCCAGUGGGCAUAUAUUGUGAAAACUGCACACAGUAGCAUAUGUAGAACUGGACUGACGUUCAGGAGUGAAAAACUGGGGCAUCGCAACAACAAGUACAUGCUAGCUCGUAUUUUCCUGUAUUUUUAAACAAAACCCCAGACAUCUUGAACAGAUAGGUGAGGCUGACCAAGGAAGGUUUUCUGUACGUUAUAAUUACUGGUACAAUAAUAUGCACUACCUGCAGGUAACCUGUAGUAACAUGUUACAAAUUGUUAUAUAUCAUGACACUUCAGCGACUACUCUGGCAUGAUCUAACUUAGUAUCUGAUAUCUUUGCUUGGAUCCAAUAUUGUAGUAUCUCAUUGCAUGUGUGUGACUGUGUGUGUGUGUGCACAUGUGCUAUCUUACACUGAAGGCCUGAACCGAGUGAGGUUAAUACCAAUAAGCCUAUAGUUCCAUAGCUAUGGAUGGAAACAUCAAAGGUUGGCUCUGCAGGCUUAAGAGGCUGCUUGUUUUCUUACUCUAGAUGUUAAUAUACACAUCAAACUAAUCUCAAUGAAAACCAACCCCAAAAAAUGCAUGAAAUCAGAUGAUCCAGUGGGUAUAUAUUGUGAAAGCUGCACACAGUAGCAUAUGUAGAACUAGACUGUUUGGAAUGUGAAGAAUUGGGGCAUCGCAACAACAAGCUUGUAUUUUCCUGGUUUUUUUUACAAAAUCUCAGACAUUUUUAACAGAUAUGUGAGGCAGCCCAAGGAAGGAGACAACAACAUCUCUGGUUCUGUGAGAGAGAUGAAGUUUUCCUCUACACUGAAAUCAGGUGCUUGGUAUGAUGGUAUCUUAGACCAUCUUACACUGAAGGCACUGAAGGCCUGAACCGGGUGAGGUUAGCUAUGGAUGGAAACAUCAAAGGUUGGCUCUGCAGGCUUAAGAGGCUGCUUGCUCUCUUACUCUUAGAUGUUAAUAUACACAUCAAACUAAUCUCAAUGAAAAACAACCCCAAAAAAUGCAUGAAAUCAGGUGAUCCAGUGGGCAUAUAUUGUGAAAACUGCACACAGUAGCAUAUGUAGAACUGGACUGACGUUCAGGAGUGAAAAACUGGGGCAUCGCAACAACAAGUACAUGCUAGCUCGUAUUUUCCUGUAUUUUUAAACAAAACCCCAGACAUCUUGAACAGAUAGGUGAGGCUGACCAAGGAAGGUUUUCUGUACGUUAUAAUUACUGGUACAAUAAUAUGCACUACCUGCAGGUAACCUGUAGUAACAUGUUACAAAUUGUUAUAUAUCAUGACACUUCAGCGACUACUCUGGCAUGAUCUAACUUAGUAUCUGAUAUCUUUGCUUGGAUCCAAUAUUGUAGUAUCUCAUUGCAUGUGUGUGACUGUGUGUGUGUGUGCACAUGUGCUAUCUUACACUGAAGGCCUGAACCGAGUGAGGUUAAUACCAAUAAGCCUAUAGUUCCAUAGCUAUGGAUGGAAACAUCAAAGGUUGGCUCUGCAGGCUUAAGAGGCUGCUUGUUUUCUUACUCUAGAUGUUAAUAUACACAUCAAACUAAUCUCAAUGAAAACCAACCCCAAAAAAUGCAUGAAAUCAGAUGAUCCAGUGGGUAUAUAUUGUGAAAGCUGCACACAGUAGCAUAUGUAGAACUAGACUGUUUGGAAUGUGAAGAAUUGGGGCAUCGCAACAACAAGCUUGUAUUUUCCUGGUUUUUUUUACAAAAUCUCAGACAUUUUUAACAGAUAUGUGAGGCAGCCCAAGGAAGGAGACAACAACAUCUCUGGUUCUGUGAGAGAGAUGAAGUUUUCCUCUACACUGAAAUCAGGUGCUUGGUAUGAUGGUAUCUUAGACCAUCUUACACUGAAGGCACUGAAGGCCUGAACCGGGUGAGGUUAGCUAUGGAUGGAAACAUCAAAGGUUGGCUCUGCAGGCUUAAGAGGCUGCUUGCUCUCUUACUCUUAGAUGUUAAUAUACACAUCAAACUAAUCUCAAUGAAAAACAACCCCAAAAAAUGCAUGAAAUCAGGUGAUCCAGUGGGCAUAUAUUGUGAAAACUGCACACAGUAGCAUAUGUAGAACUGGACUGACGUUCAGGAGUGAAAAACUGGGGCAUCGCAACAACAAGUACAUGCUAGCUCGUAUUUUCCUGUAUUUUUAAACAAAACCCCAGACAUCUUGAACAGAUAGGUGAGGCUGACCAAGGAAGGUUUUCUGUACGUUAUAAUUACUGGUACAAUAAUAUGCACUACCUGCAGGUAACCUGUAGUAACAUGUUACAAAUUGUUAUAUAUCAUGACACUUCAGCGACUACUCUGGCAUGAUCUAACUUAGUAUCUGAUAUCUUUGCUUGGAUCCAAUAUUGUAGUAUCUCAUUGCAUGUGUGUGACUGUGUGUGUGUGUGCACAUGUGCUAUCUUACACUGAAGGCCUGAACCGAGUGAGGUUAAUACCAAUAAGCCUAUAGUUCCAUAGCUAUGGAUGGAAACAUCAAAGGUUGGCUCUGCAGGCUUAAGAGGCUGCUUGUUUUCUUACUCUAGAUGUUAAUAUACACAUCAAACUAAUCUCAAUGAAAACCAACCCCAAAAAAUGCAUGAAAUCAGAUGAUCCAGUGGGUAUAUAUUGUGAAAGCUGCACACAGUAGCAUAUGUAGAACUAGACUGUUUGGAAUGUGAAGAAUUGGGGCAUCGCAACAACAAGCUUGUAUUUUCCUGGUUUUUUUUUACAAAAUCUCAGACAUUUUUAACAGAUAUGUGAGGCAGCCCAAGGAAGGAGACAACAACAUCUCUGGUUCUGUGAGAGAGGUAGGUUGGCCGGCAUUUGUUUAUUGGUGGGGUUGCAUUGGUAGAAGACGAGCAUUGAAUUGCAUUGACUUCCUUAGCUGUUGGUCAUUUGACAGAAUCUUGUUCAUAGAUGAUAACAACAAAAAUAACGGUACGUUAUCUUGACAGACAGAAUUGAUGUGUCUGAUAUGGUUAAAUCCUGCCUGAAGAGGAGCAUGGGUUUAGGCGUCAGGCAACAAGGCACACUUCUUCUUAGUGCGUGAUCAGCCAUUGUGUAGCAAUUUAGACUGCUCAAAUUUAUCAUAGAGCAUAAUUAGUGCUUUCUAGCUAUAGCUAUAGGUGGACCAUAAUUGGCACCUGCAGAUUUUAGCGUUAAGCAAAGCCAGUCUGCACAAAUCUAAUGUAAUGCAGGGCUGCAGUACCUUUUGGCAUGGCUACGUAUUAGUAUAAAAGCUCCUUGAUUAUAUUCAUGCAGAUGAAGUUUUCCUCUACACUGAAAUCAGGUGCUUGGUAUGAUGGUAUCUUAGACCAUCUUACACUGAAGGCACUGAAGGCCUGAACCGGGUGAGGUUAGCUAUGGAUGGAAACAUCAAAGGUUGGCUCUGCAGGCUUAAGAGGCUGCUUACUCUCUUACUCUUAGAUGUUAAUAUACACAUCAAACUAAUCUCAAUGAAAAACAACCCCAAAAAAUGCAUGAAAUCAGGUGAUCCAGUGGGCAUAUAUUGUGAAAACUGCACACAGUAGCAUAUGUAGAACUGGACUGACGUUCAGGAGUGAAAAACUGGGGCAUCGCAACAACAAGUACAUGCUAGCUCGUAUUUUCCUGUAUUUUUAAACAAAACCCCAGACAUCUUGAACAGAUAGGUGAGGCUGACCAAGGAAGGUUUUCUGUACGUUAUAAUUACUGGUACAAUAAUAUGCACUACCUGCAGGUAACCUGUAGUAACAUGUUACAAAUUGUUAUAUAUCAUGACACUUCAGCGACUACUCUGGCAUGAUCUAACUUAGUAUCUGAUAUCUUUGCUUGGAUCCAAUAUUGUAGUAUCUCAUUGCAUGUGUGUGACUGUGUGUGUGUGUGCACAUGUGCUAUCUUACACUGAAGGCCUGAACCGAGUGAGGUUAAUACCAAUAAGCCUAUAGUUCCAUAGCUAUGGAUGGAAACAUCAAAGGUUGGCUCUGCAGGCUUAAGAGGCUGCUU